AAAACAUUCGGACCGUCGGUCUACCGAGCAAUAUCACCCGCUCGAUGGAAGAUCUUUCUUUCGUCGG
rnacentral:pre_miRNA from 1 species